GCAAUAAGAGGUGCUAAUGUAAGCGUCCUGUUAAUGUUGGUGGCGUUAAUGUUGGUGGCAGUUAACCCUAACUGUGCAGUGCGAACUCUGUUUGCAUCAAAAGACACCACCUCCACCCUAAAGAAACAUCUGGAAGCUUUUCUAGUCUGCAUACGUAAGUUUGGACACCAACAUCUGUCCACCUGUGCUUCAGUUUCUGGCCUCAUGUCACGACCAAUUUUGACCAGAAAGAUGACGCCAGCGUUUCAACCAUGUUUGCUGGGUUAGGUGAUGGUGCACACUUUCCUGAGGACACGAUGCUUGGGCUAUUACCAGGCUUAGUCCAAUACUCCAGAGCUGACUGUUGCCUCACCACACCAUUAGGUAGCUCUGCUCAAGAUGGCGGACGAUUGGAG